UACGUAGGGUGCGAGCGUUAAUCGGAAUUACUGGGCGUAAAGCGUGCGCAGGCGGGCUUUUAAGCCAGACGUGAAAUCCCCGGGCUUAACCUGGGAAUGGCGUUUGGGACUGGAAGUCUGGAGUGUGGCAGAGGAGACUGGAAUUCCUGGUGUAGCAGUGAAAUGCGUAGAUAUCAGGAGGAAUACCGAUGGCGAAGGCAGGUCUCUGGGCUGACACUGACGCUCAUGCACGAAAGCGUGGGGAGCAAACAGG
rnacentral:rRNA from 1 species